UGCAGUCGAGCGGACAGAAGGGAGCUUGCUCCCGGAUGUUAGCGGCGGACGGGUGAGUAACACGUGGGUAACCUGCCUGUAAGACUGGGAUAACUCCGGGAAACCGGAGCUAAUACCGGAUAGUUCCUUGAACCGCAUGGUUCAAGGAUGAAAGACGGUUUCGGCUGUCACUUACAGAUGGACCCGCGGCGCAUUAGCUAGUUGGUGAGGUAACGGCUCACCAAGGCGACGAUGCGUAGCCGACCUGAGAGGGUGAUCGGCCACACUGGGACUGAGACACGGCCCAGACUCCUACGGGAGGCAGCAGUAGGGAAUCUUCCGCAAUGGACGAAAGUCUGACGGAGCAACGCCGCGUGAGUGAUGAAGGUUUUCGGAUCGUAAAGCUCUGUUGUUAGGGAAGAACAAGUGCAAGAGUAACUGCUUGCACCUUGACGGUACCUAACCAGAAAGCCACGGCUAACUACGUGCCAGCAGCCGCGGUAAUACGUAGGUGGCAAGCGUUGUCCGGAAUUAUUGGGCGUAAAGGGCUCGCAGGCGGUUUCUUAAGUCUGAUGUGAAAGCCCCCGGCUCAACCGGGGAGGGUCAUUGGAAACUGGGAAACUUGAGUGCAGAAGAGGAGAGUGGAAUUCCACGUGUAGCGGUGAAAUGCGUAGAGAUGUGGAGGAACACCAGUGGCGAAGGCGACUCUCUGGUCUGUAACUGACGCUGAGGAGCGAAAGCGUGGGGAGCGAACAGGAUUAGAUACCCUGGUAGUCCACGCCGU
rnacentral:rRNA from 1 species